GCCCUGAUGGUCUAGUAGUAUGAUACCUUGUUAGGGAGUCUCCGUAAAGAUACCUCGAGGUGGUCCCCGGUUCAAUUCCGGGUUAGGGCC